rnacentral:lncRNA from 1 species
CCCGCCCCCGCCCCCGCCCCCGGCCCACCUGCCCGCCCGCCGCACCCGCGCCCCCUGGCGCCCCGGGGCGCGCACGGCCGGCGGCGGGGCGCGGAGGGGGCGCUGCUCGCGGCGGGCGGGCGGCCGGGGCUGUAGUACAGGCUGUCCCCGGCAGCCGGCGGAGUCAGCGCGCCCACGUGACGGCCCCGGCUCUCCGGUGAGCUCCCCAAACAGACGCACACCCAGCCACACGCGCGCACACACACGCACGCACCCCCGCGCGCACACGCCCGCCCGCUCUGCCUCUGCGCCCUCCAUCCCGGCUCGCUCCUUCCCUCGCCCUCUCGCCUCCCCUGCGGUCUCUCGCUCUGCGCGCACACCCCGCACACACGCACACGCACACACACGCGCGCACACACGCAGCCGGCACAGGCGGCGGCGGCGGCGGCGGCGGCGGCGGCUGCCCAAGUCAGGACGAACCUCUGUAGGCACCGUCUCGAGAAGGCGGCGGCGGCGGCGGCAGCCCGAGCAUCCCGAGCAUCCCGAGCAUCCCGAGCAUCCCGAGCAUCCCGAGCAUCCCUCGUCUCCCCGAGAGCGAGCACCGCCGAGAGUUUGCGUUCCCUUCGCCGUUCCCUUCCCCCCCCCCACCUCCUUUUCUUUAUUUCGGAGAGCGUUUCCUCCUCGCUUAUUGGUUUUAAUUUGAUUUUGAAAAUUUUGGGUUGCUUUUGUGUGUGUGCCUUUUUUUUUUUCUUUCUUUUCCCCCCUUUCCUCAUUUUAUUUGCAUCCAGAGCAUGGCGUGCUGCGGGCUGUCGGAAGACACCUUCUUCUCUUCCUUCUUUUACAACUACGGCUCCUCCUGGGAAACCCCCUCCAGCCAGGGGUGAGGCGUGUACAUGUGCGUGAGGACCCGGGCUCUCGGCGAGGGUGCCCUGCAGGUCACGGUUUCAGCGGUUGAGCCUGGGCCGGGGACUGAGAAACCUGCUCCUGACUGUUCCUUCCUUGAAAAAGGCUGAAACAAAGACAACACUAAAUCGCAUCUUGGACUCAGGCAGGGCUGCGAUGGGAAGGCCUGGGCCAAAUUUGAAAGAGUGAGACUUAUUCAUGAUUUUUACCUGAAUUGCUGCCAAAAAAGCUUACAAAUCCUCCAUUCCCUAAAAAUAGUAACGCUCUUCAAAUAUAAUUUGUUUACUCUACCUCAAUUAAAAAUAAAACCAUCUUCCCUAGUGUUAUAAAGUGCUUAUGAAGGUAAGGGUUGACUGUACUAAAAAGAAAAAAAAAAUCAAGCUUUUUAUUUCUAGAUCAAUAUGAUGUGCUCUCAACAUCUAAUACCAUGUAAAAGGAGCCUUUUUACAACAUCAAUAGCAGGCAGGCAUGUCUCCCUAAGAAGCUCUUUUCCUGGAAUCACAAGGCAUUUUGAUUUGCUUUCAUUUUCACAAGAAACAUGAUUAUGACACCUCUGGUUAUAAACAAGUGAGUGAAAAAAAUAAUGAGGAUUGGGGGUUCUUUAUAUAGAAAUCUAGAAAUUUGGAAACAACCCCGGGCAUUUAUUCAUUACUAAACCCCCAAAACAAAAACCAAAAACCCAACCACAGAUCAUCGUGGACUGGGAGGUUUUUUUUGUUUGUUUUUUUUUUUUUUUUUUUUUUUUUUUUUUUUUUUAGUUUCUCUGUGACAUUUUAUCACUGAGGCUGGGGGAGGGGGAAUCAGGGUGAUGUUUCUGGAGAGAGCCCAAUGUGUAUCAGAGCCGAAACUGCAUCUGUUACCAUUUAAAAACUGGGAAAUUCCAUCUUAUAUCCGAAUAGACCAUGUUGCAGAUAUUUUGCACCCACUUGCCAAUGUGCAAAACAUACCAUAGUGCGAGUGUGUAUGUGUGUAUGUGUGUGUGUGGGAAGCAUCUGCUUAGGUGGAAUUUAUUUCUUCAAUUAGAAUGAAAACCCCAAUUAAAGUGUGUAUGUGAAAUGUCUCUGACUUGGCUCAGUGCAGCAGACAGCAGACCAUUCUUUAAUUUACAGUUUCACGCCUAGGGAUGGCAGUAGUGCAAGCUUCCAAAACCCAGCAUUAUCUUUUUUUUUUUUUUUUUCUGUUGUGCUUUUCAACCUGCGAGGCUCUCCUGUAGUUGUUUGAGGUUUCUGUCUCCAUCAUGACGCUGACUGUGGAGUGGUCAUUACCGCUUGCUGUUUGGACCUGGGUCACUUUAUUGACUUGUCACCGUGGAGGCCCAAAUCGAAGCAGGCCAGGUCUGUAUGAUAUUGAAUCAGUCAACGGAAAGUGAAAAAUGGAGCCAAUUAGCUGACUGCUUGGAUGUCCAUGAGGCCAGACAUCGGACUUUACCCACCUGAUUGACCAGUCCUGUGGUUACUGGAUAGUUUAACCCGAGUUUAUGAAAAAGUUAUUCGGGCCAGACAUGACUGGGCUCUUCUACUUUUCUUCCCCACCCGUGCCCCUAGCCCCAGCCACUCCCUCAGAUUUUUCCAGACUAGAAAUAUAAAAUGGCAUCCUUCUGUGGAUGCACACCAUCCUUCUAGAAUGACUGCUUUGAAUGCAUCCCUGGACUUUUGUUAGCCAGUACCUGUAAUUCUUCGCACCUGCUCUAUCUUUUCAAGCAGGAUAGAUGUAUCAAUGUAGGAUCAUUAAUGGAUGCGGGUAAGUUGUUGAAAGCUUGUGCUGACUGCUUUUUUUUUUUUUUUUUUUGGCUUGGCACAAUGUCCAUAAAUAUCGACAGCCAAAGCAAGAAAGCAGCCCACUGAGGAACACUUCUGCUCCAUCCAGUCCAAUCACUCUAAAGAACUCAGAAUUUUUUUUUUUUUGCUCCUCUUUUCUGGGUAUUUCAUAAUUCUUAAAGGAGUAACAAUGUUUGGAUCCACGGAGAUGAGCCAAGACUUGGGAAUGACCUGCAUUUGCAGGGUUGUUAGAAACGCACUGGGUUAAAGUUCAAAAAAUAAGAGCUGGGUUUCUAUACAUUUUAAACAUUUUUAUUUUCUGGAAGAUGUCCGGAUGAACCGCAAAAUCCUUUUUAAGUGCACUUCUGUAUAUUUACCUUAGACACUUUUUUGAAAUCUGCUUAUAAAUCUAACUCAUCUGACUCCAGUUUUUCCAACGUUGGGUUUCUCCUAGGCACAUAGAAAAGCAAAAGAGACUUUUAAUAUCCUGAGUUUCUCGUGGGCCUCCCAGCAAGGCUAGCUUUCUUAAGGCACCACCUUGGAAAUACUGUUUGCUUUUCUUUGUUAAGUUCUAUUAGCCUCAAACUUAGGAACCGAGCAGCAGUGAUGAGAGGUGCUAUUAACUAAUGCUGUUCCCAGCACUUGACAUGUAUUUGACUCAUUUAAUCUCCUAGACAACUUAUGAAUUAGGUACUUUUAUUAUUAUUCCCAUUUUAUAGAUGGAGAAAAUAAGGCACAGGGAAUUCGAUACUUUACCUAAGACAUCGCUGGUGCUAGGUAGGGGCAAAACUGGGACGUCCCCCAGGCAGCCAGGUUUCAGAGUCCAGCGUGCCUGCUAAUUCCUACUCUCCACACUACUUCCUCUCCAGUAGACAUCACGUGGCCACACGUACCUUUCUAGCAAGUUUGUUAUGGUGUCAUUCAUUUGCCCGCUCCAUGAAAUAGUGAAGAUCUCCUUCGUUUGCCCAAGUUUGCUCAUUUUUUCCCCCCCUGGUUAUUUACAUAACCAGCCCAAAUCCUCUUUGGUAAAUGAGGUGAAGUCUUCUGUUUCGACAAGAUCAACCAUAACUAUCUGAUGUUUUUAUCUUUUUCUUGGUGAUGGACUAAAUGAGUUUACCAUUCUUUUUGGUUUGAACAAAUGGUUGAUCCAGUUUUAGAGAGAAACUAUUUAUUUAUUUAUUUAUUUAUUUAUUUAUUUAUUUAUUUAUUUAAAAAUAUUUUAUUUAUUUAUUCCUGAGAGUCACACAGAGAGAGGCAGAGACACGGGCAGAGGGAGAAGCAGGCUCCCUGCAGGGAACCUGAUGUGGACUGGAUUCCAGGACCCCGGGAUCACGCCCUGAGCUGAAGUCAGAUGCUCAAUCGCUGAACCGCCACCAGGCAUCCCUAGACUGAGACUUUAGAUUGCCAGCUCCCAACCUCAAGUAAUUGUGACCUAGAGGAGGGCGCAUUACACAUGUGGGGAUCAGUAAAAUAACACUGUACAGAAGAAAUGUAAUUUUAAAAUUCAUGAAUAGAAUAAUUUUAUCAGUAAUCACUCAGAUGCAUCAAAACCCUAUCCCAUACGUAUGCAUAUAUGUGUGUGUAUAAAAUAUGUAUGUUUUCGGCAUAAACUUACUCUCACUUUGUAAGCAAACCCGUAUCAUGAUGAGUUUGCCCUGUCUAUUGUUACGUUUGCAAUUUAGGCCCAAACCUAACCUUUUCAGCAUGGCCGUGUUAUAACAGGUGUCUUUUGUGUUGAAUCAUGCAUCUAGCAUUUAUGUCCAUCAUGAACUAAUGCCUCUUAGUGGUUCAUCCCUUAUAUCGUGAUCUUCCAAAAUACAGUUGUGGAAAGGGGGAGGGAAAACAUUAAAUGUCAGUAGUUACAGCAAGACGGUCUCUAGGAAGGAGGCAGUUUCUUGCUGCUUUCACAUUCCUGUGGCCCUAGCGGAAAUGUAAAAGUGCAGGGUUUGCAUUGGAAUGAGAAUGGGGUCACCUACCCUUUGUAGUCAUCAUCAAGGAAGCAGAACUUCCUUCCAGAGAGACCAUAGGAAAUCAAUGAUCAUACUUUGCCAGUGAAGAGGUAAAUGUGGACAGCAGACGCCAUUAAAUAAAAGGGCAGCAGAAAAGUGAUUUACUCUAGAAGGCAGUGUGACUUUUUGGUCCGUUCCAAGAAUUCACAUUUGUGAUAUAAUAAUUAUAUUUAAAUAUUUUCUUUGGGAUUAUGUUUUAUUUAAAAAAAAAAAGGAAGGAGACAUGCCAUUAGGUGAUGCUACUCUCUUGUCAUUUGAACAUAGCUAUUUAAGGAAAGCAGAGUGUCUGGAAUAUGGUAACAGAUACCCUCUUCCCUUAUUUUUGUCUUCAUAAGAAUUGACCUGAUUUGUUAUGGCUCCUGGAUUUCUGUUUGUUUUUAAAUUUCGCAUAGUCCUGGAUGCAGAGGGGAAGCUUGCGG